rnacentral:rRNA from 1 species
AGACGUCUACAUUAGAUACCCCCGUAGUCCCAGCCGUAAACUAUGCGCGUUAGGUGUAUCGGUGACCACGAGUUACCGAGGUGCCGAAGGGAAACCGUGAAACGUGCCGCCUGGGAAGUACGGUCGCAAGGCUGAAACUUAAAGGAAUUGGCGGGGGAGCACAACAACGGGUGGAGCCUGCGGUUUAAUUGGACUCAACGCCGGACAACUCACCGGGAACGACAGCAAUAUGUAGGCCAGGCUGAAGACCUUGCCUGAAUCGCUG